rnacentral:lncRNA from 1 species
GGCCAUGGGGUCCCCCUCUGCAGGUGGAUGGGGGUGUCAGCCCAGGGUAGGCUGGUGCUGAUGCCUCUGCUCUGUGUGCCCCCCGCCCCCCCAGCCUGCAGCAAGGGAAGAGCAGCAGCACCGGGAACUUGCUGGACAAGGACGACAUCGCCAUCCCGCCACCCGACUACGGCAUGGCCUCCCAGGCCUUCCCGCCGCAAGGCGUCAACACCUUCAAGCAGAGGCCGUACAGCGUGGCCGUGCCCGCCUUCUCCCAGGGUCUCGACGACUACGGGACGAGGUCCGUCAGCAGCGGCAGCGGGAGUUUGGUAUCAACGGUGUGAGGACACCUUGGCUAGCGGCGGCCCCUUGCUGCUUGGAAGAGCUUUCUGCUUCUUUCCCCCCACCCUCCUUUUUUUUUUUUUUUUUUUUUUUUUUUUUUUUUCUUUCCCCCUCGUUUCUCUUUCUCUACUUUUGGAUUUUAAACUCUUGUGAUCUUCAAGGAAACCAUGGUGCUUCUCCACCCCUCCCUGGUGUUCACAGUGCCCUUGUUUCUGAAGUCUUUUCAGAGCAGAAACUGCCGAUCGGUCUGUGCUCGCUUUGAAGCAGCCUGGAUGCAGUUUACACUUUAGUGGGACCCAGUUUUUGUACUCCUGUGUGAAUGUUAGCGAUGCACUAUCCCUCCUCGGGGGCUGCACGCCAGCCGCCUCGCACGAGCCUGGACAAAACCUC